GUCCGUGUAGCUCAGCGGAAGAGCGGCGCCCUCCGAAGGCGCAGGCCGGUGGUUCGACCCCACCCACGGAUA
rnacentral:tRNA from 1 species